rnacentral:rRNA from 1 species
AACGAACGCUGGCGGCGUGCUUAACACAUGCAAGUCGAACGAAGUAGCAAUACUUAGUGGCGCACGGGUGAGUAACACGUGGGAAUCUGCCCUAAAGUGGGGGAUAACAGCUGGAAACGGCUGCUAAUACCGCAUAAUCUCGAAAGAGCAAAGAUUUAUCGCUUUAGGAUGAGCCCGCGUCUGAUUAGCUAGUUGGUGAGGUAAUGGCUCACCAAGGCGACGAUCAGUAGCCGGUCUGAGAGGACGAUCGGCCACACUGGGACUGAGACACGGCCCAGACUCCUACGGGAGGCAGCAGUGGGGAAUUUUGGACAAUGGGCGCAAGCCUGAUCCAGCGACGCCGCGUGAAUGAUGAAGGCCUUCGGGUUGUAAAGUUCUUUUGGCAGGGAAGAUAGUGACGGUACCCGCAGAAUAAGCACCGGCAAACUCUGUGCCAGCCGCCGCGGUAA